GCCUGCUCCGGGGGGAGCCUGCGGAUGGUCCUCAGGCACGCGGGGCUGCACGUGAUCGGCAAGCUUGUAUUCUGGGUCACUGAGGCCCUUCAACUCCCCACUUCACAGGAAUGAAAAGAAGAACAGGUAAAAAUGGACCUCUGCCUUCUCCUGGAUUCUGCACCGAGGGAAUGCAAGGAGAAACAGCUCUGGGGGUUUUGUUGGUGGUGCUGUCGUUAUUUGAAUCUCUUCAUUCUGCCAUCCUCCAUCAGGGACAAAAUUCCAGGCAGAUUUUAACAUCAAAGGUGGUGAUGGAUAUGGCUCCGUGGGCACACCAGAUUUGUAGGAAGGAUCUACUUAAGACCCAAAUUAACCAUGUCAGCAUCAGAGCUCUCCAUCUACCUGAGAAAAAGGCUGUGGAAAACCUCACUGUUUCAACAAUCCCAUUAAUAACACAGCUCUCAUUCGGGUGGUAUUUGCGAAGAGAGUCUCAUUGAUUACAGAAUCUCCAACCAAUUAUCUUGGUACUUCAUAGAACCCACAAGUAGGUGAAAACUAAUUGUGAUUCUCUGAGCUAAAUACAGUGGAAAGAAUGAGACUUGGAGCUGGAUUUUGCAAGCUUAUCUAUGUGAAGAAUCUGGAGCCCAGAGACAAAGUUAUCCAGUCAGUGACAGUGUGCGUUUAUAUACAGACAUCCUUAAACCUCUACCAACAAAUGACAUCAGGCCUGAGCCCCCCAUGGACGUCUAGCCCACGGUCCGGGAUGAAGGGCAGGGAGGACACCAAGCCAAACCAAACAACUGGACACAGCCCCUGCUGUCCGCUCAGCCCUCACCAACUUCAUUCUCACCCACCAUCACAAGUUGCUGGGAUAACUCAAUUUCUCCAUUCUUCAACAAGAUACACUAUACUCUCUCCUCCACUGGAUGUCUAGAGGCACACACUGGAGCGUUGACUCACCAUUGUCUAGACCCAAAGCACAUCCUAUCUUUUUUCCCCAACUUCUAUAUCAUUUUGGCAGAGUCACAUGAAACUGCUACCAAAAUCUGGUGUAUAUCUACCUAGCUACCUUCUACAUAUCUGCACUGUCUAUAAGAUGAUAAAUAUAAAUGCAUUGCAUUUUUAUUUGUCCAAAUCCUGCCCCUCUUUUAAGGACCAGCUCUCCUAUUUUGGAGAUAAGUUCUCCUUCCUCCAAACAACCACACUACCCUCUGCCUACAGCUCUUGAAAUCUCUGACAGAGCCCAGGGAUUCCAGCAGCUCUGAGUGGGAAGACUGUAAAUGACAAACAGCAGACCCUCUGCCAAAAAAGUGAUUGGACCAGAAAUGCACUAAGUUAAACCAGACUGUUUCCACCCACCCCAUCUAAUGGUGACCCCGCACCUCAGCAAAGAGGCAAAGGCUUUGUAUAAAUGAAGACAGAGACUGUGCUCAUUUCCCACUUGAUGACUCAUGCAAUAUGGAAUGAGAGGCCCCAUCCAUCCACCCGUAAACAACAGAUGAAAAACAAACACUGAGCAAGCAUAUGCUUGUCGUUUUCCUUCUCCUCUCUGCCGUCACCUGCCUUCUCCCACCAUCCGGACCCCAUGCCCCCACGCUGGCCAGUCGGUUGGGUCUACUGUGUGAACAUCCUAACGAUGAAAGCAAGCCACCAUGGCCGCAGGAAUGGGGCGCCACCAGAUCUGAAGCUUCCUGUGGCUUCCAGGUCUUCCCCACGCAGUGAUAUCAGGAGAGGGAAGCCUCUUCUUCGCCUCAGCCGCUUUAGGAAGUAAUUUUUCACCUAUACGGCACAUUAUAGCUUACACAGCAUUUCACAGUCAUUACAGACGUAUAAUCCCUACAGCAUUUUUGGGAGGCGAGUGUUAUGAUCCUCGCUUUCCAGACAAGGAAACCCAGGUUCCGAGAUGUGCUCGCGGCCGCUCAGCGCUUAGGGCCCAGAGUUGCCUGGAGGGAUGCAUGGCCUGCUUCCAGAUGAAAAGAAAUCCACUACUCUCUGGGAGAAAAGGCAAAUUUGCCUAAAAGCAGUUUUCAUAGUGGACUCUCAUGCCACCAGCCUCCUGGCCUGCUCAAGACUGCUUCCCUCCCCGUAAACAGCUGAGGGACCCCCGCCUCCUACGUCCACCCAGUACCCGCCUUAACAUCCCAGGAAACUGGGACCUCACUUUCCUCCCCUCUGUCAGGCCGGCAGGGCCCACCCUGGGUGGGAGUGCGGCCGAGGCAGCUCAGGAGAGCAAAGCCCACGGCCAGGAGCUGCUGGGGGCCAGCGGCCUGCUCUGCCCCUCAGAAGAAACAGGACUGGGAGGAGGGAUUCACUAGUAACAUCCUCAUGAAGGAAAUGUUAUUCUUACCUUGGAUCUGCUCCUGCAGAAAACAGAGGGGGCCUGGGCUCUCGGCCUCGCCUUUCCCAGAGGGGCGACGCUCAGAGGGAAGUGGCCGGCCUCCCCUUUCCAAUUCCCCAGCCCCGCACUCCAUCCACUUCAUACUUAUGUGAACAAAAAGUGGCCUUUUCAAAAAAAUAAAGGUUAAGGGAAGAAAAUACCUAAAAUUGGAGGAUUCGUCUGAGCAAAAGAGGUAGGAGUCUCACGGCAAGCAACGCUUUAAAGGAAAACAAACUUUCAUUAUUCAGUCAACAAACACAAGCUUUAACUCUUAGCAAUGGACUAGGCUGGAGGGAAUGUAAAGAUGAAUGAGACGCGUCUCUCACCCUUCGAGAGUCCUACUCAGUGUCCCUUGACACCUGCCAGGAGAGAGUUACUGCACCUUGGUCCCAAACAGACACCUGCCCCAUGCCUUCCUGGGGUUGCUGGGGCCAGAAAGAAUGCCGAAAAACAACCUGCAAGCUUUACAAGGCUCUUCUCACUAAUAGUCCCUGAGACAUGACAUCGAAUCCCUGGACUGCUCAAGAGCGCCUUCUCCUACGUCCUGAUUGGAUUGGCCUACAAUGAUUAUGGUCCCCAAGGCCAGAGCUGUGCCCCUGAAUCCAGGCGCUGCAUUUCCCCAAGGGCACGCUGUCCCGGAGUCAUUGCCCAUCGCCAACUCUCAGUUUCCCCUCAGGGCAGGGCCUAGGCCAAGGGUUCUAGGUUAUGUUCUGAGCUGCAGUAGGAUUCUGUCAAGGCACGUCAGCAUCUCGCAUGGGUUUGGGAGGAGGCUGAGUGGUCGGCUUCGACCCUUCCAGCACCCCUACCGCACUCGAGCUAGACAGAGCACCCCUACUUCCCUCUGUUCGUCAGACUGGCUAAGCCAUAAGAUUGUAUUUGGAGAAAGGGAUUUUCCUGUGAAAGAGAAACACCUUUUGAAAACCACUGAGGAGGUUAUCUGAGGCUCAACGCUGUCCUGUGGCCAGGUUUGCCUCUCAUUUGUCAAUGUUAUUAUUGAAUUUUCAAAUGCCAGUGGUACACAUAAAUCAAUGGCUUUCUUCUCCCUCCUGGCAUAGCCCUGCCACAUGUGGUCAUUCAUUUUUUUAAUAAGUCCUCCUCUCCUUUUACUCAUUUAUAAAAAUGCAUCUUGCUCCCCGACCACCGUCCAUCACUCGGUGAGCCCGGCUAUUUGUUGCCCCUGAGUGCUUAUUCAUCAACGUUUUCAAAAGCAAAAUCACUCUUCGCCUCCUGCUCUUAUUGUGCCAUCAAUCUUGACCAGGGGAUCAAUAAACUUCGCUUUUGCAAUUUU
rnacentral:lncRNA from 1 species